AGAGUUUGAUCAUGGCUCAGAUUGAACGCUGGCGGCAGGCCUAACACAUGCAAGUCGAGCGGAUGAAGGGAGCUUGCUCCUGGAUUCAGCGGCGGACGGGUGAGUAAUGCCUAGGAAUCUGCCUGGUAGUGGGGGAUAACGUCCGGAAACGGGCGCUAAUACCGCAUACGUCCUGAGGGAGAAAGUGGGGGAUCUUCGGACCUCACGCUAUCAGAUGAGCCUAGGUCGGAUUAGCUAGUUGGUGGGGUAAAGGCCUACCAAGGCGACGAUCCGUAACUGGUCUGAGAGGAUGAUCAGUCACACUGGAACUGAGACACGGUCCAGACUCCUACGGGAGGCAGCAGUGGGGAAUAUUGGACAAUGGGCGAAAGCCUGAUCCAGCCAUGCCGCGUGUGUGAAGAAGGUCUUCGGAUUGUAAAGCACUUUAAGUUGGGAGGAAGGGCAGUAAGUUAAUACCUUGCUGUUUUGACGUUACCAACAGAAUAAGCACCGGCUAACUUCGUGCCAGCAGCCGCGGUAAUACGAAGGGUGCAAGCGUUAAUCGGAAUUACUGGGCGUAAAGCGCGCGUAGGUGGUUCAGCAAGUUGGAUGUGAAAUCCCCGGGCUCAACCUGGGAACUGCAUCCAAAACUACUGAGCUAGAGUACGGUAGAGGGUGGUGGAAUUUCCUGUGUAGCGGUGAAAUGCGUAGAUAUAGGAAGGAACACCAGUGGCGAAGGCGACCACCUGGACUGAUACUGACACUGAGGUGCGAAAGCGUGGGGAGCAAACAGGAUUAGAUACCCUGGUAGUCCACGCCGUAAACGAUGUCGACUAGCCGUUGGGAUCCUUGAGAUCUUAGUGGCGCAGCUAACGCGAUAAGUCGACCGCCUGGGGAGUACGGCCGCAAGGUUAAAACUCAAAUGAAUUGACGGGGGCCCGCACAAGCGAUGGAGCAUGUGGUUUAAUUCGAAGCAACGCGAAGAACCUUACCUGGCCUUGACAUGCUGAGAACUUUCCAGAGAUGGAUUGGUGCCUUCGGGAACUCAGACACAGGUGCUGCAUGGCUGUCGUCAGCUCGUGUCGUGAGAUGUUGGGUUAAGUCCCGUAACGAGCGCAACCCUUGUCCUUAGUUACCAGCACCUCGGGUGGGCACUCUAAGGAGACUGCCGGUGACAAACCGGAGGAAGGUGGGGAUGACGUCAAGUCAUCAUGCCCCUUACGGCCAGGGCUACACACGUGCUACAAUGGUCGGUACAAAGGGUUGCCAAGCCGCGAGGUGGAGCUAAUCCCAUAAAACCGAUCGUAGUCCGGAUCGCAGUCUGCAACUCGACUGCGUGAAGUCGGAAUCGCUAGUAAUCGUGAAUCAGAAUGUCACGGUGAAUACGUUCCCGGGCCUUGUACACACCGCCCGUCACACCAUGGGAGUGGGUUGCUCCAGAAGUAGCUAGUCUAACCGCAAGGGGGACGGUUACCACGGAGUGAUUCAUGACUGGGGUGAAGUCGUAACAAGGUA
rnacentral:rRNA from 1 species